rnacentral:rRNA from 1 species
UGCAGUCGACGGUGAAGCCCAGCUUGCUGGGCGGAUCAGUGGCGAACGGGUGAGUAACACGUGAGCAACCUGCCCUCCACUUCGGGAUAAGCCUUGGAAACGGGGUCUAAUACCGGAUAUGAGCUCGCAUCGCAUGGUGUGGGUUGGAAAGUUUUUCGGUGGGGGAUGGGCUCGCGGCCUAUCAGCUUGUUGGUGGGGUGAUGGCCUACCAAGGCGUCGACGGGUAGCCGGCCUGAGAGGGCGACCGGCCACACUGGGACUGAGACACGGCCCAGACUCCUACGGGAGGCAGCAGUGGGGAAUAUUGCACAAUGGGCGCAAGCCUGAUGCAGCGACGCCGCGUGAGGGAUGACGGCCUUCGGGUUGUAAACCUCUUUCAGCAGGGAAGAAGCGCAAGUGACGGUACCUGCAGAAGAAGCGCCGGCUAACUACGUGCCAGCAGCCGCGGUAAUACGUAGGGCGCAAGCGUUGUCCGGAAUUAUUGGGCGUAAAGAGCUCGUAGGCGGUCUGUCGCGUCUGGUGUGAAAUCCCGAGGCUCAACCUCGGGCUUGCAUCGGGUACGGGCAGACUAGAGUGCGGUAGGGGAGACUGGAAUUCCUGGUGUAGCGGUGGAAUGCGCAGAUAUCAGGAGGAACACCGAUGGCGAAGGCAGGUCUCUGGGCCGCAACUGACGCUGAGGAGCGAAAGCAUGGGGAGCGAACAGGAUUAGAUACCCUGGUAGUCCAUGCCGUAAACGUUGGGCACUAGGUGUGGGGCUCAUUCCACGAGUUCCGUGCCGCAGCUAACGCAUUAAGUGCCCCGCCUGGGGAGUACGGCCGCAAGGCUAAAACUCAAAGGAAUUGACGGGGGCCCGCACAAGCGGCGGAGCAUGCGGAUUAAUUCGAUGCAACGCGAAGAACCUUACCAAGGCUUGACAUGUACGAGAAAGCCCCCGAGACGGGGUUCUCUUUGGACACUCGUACACAGGUGGUGCAUGGUUGUCGUCAGCUCGUGUCGUGAGAUGUUGGGUUAAGUCCCGCAACGAGCGCAACCCUCGUCCUAUGUUGCCAGCGGGUUAUGCCGGGGACUCAUGGGAGACUGCCGGGGUCAACUCGGAGGAAGGUGGGGAUGACGUCAAAUCAUCAUGCCCCUUAUGUCUUGGGCUUCACGCAUGCUACAAUGGCCGGUACAGAGGGCUGCGAUACCGUAAGGUGGAGCGAAUCCCAAAAAGCCGGUCUCAGUUCGG